rnacentral:rRNA from 1 species
AUUGAACGCUGGCGGCAGGCUUAACACAUGCAAGUCGAGCGGAGAUGAGGUGCUUGCACCUUAUCUUAGCGGCGGACGGGUGAGUAAUGCUUAGGAAUCUGCCUAUUAGUGGGGGACAACAUUCCGAAAGGAAUGCUAAUACCGCAUACGCCCUACGGGGGAAAGCAGGGGAUCUUCGGACCUUGCGCUAAUAGCUGAGCCUAAGUCGGAUUAGCUAGUUGGUGGGGUAAAGGCCUACCAAGGCGACGAUCUGUAGCGGGUCUGAGAGGAUGAGCCGCCACACUGGGACUGAGACACGGCCCAGACUCCUACGGGAGGCAGCAGUGGGGAAUAUUGGACAAUGGGCGGAAGCCUGAUCCAGCCAUGCCGCGUGUGUGAAGAAGGCCUUUUGGUUGUAAAGCACUUUAAGCGAGGAGGAGGCUACCUGGAUUAAUACUCUAGGAUAGUGGACGUUACUCGCAGAAUAAGCACCGGCUAACUCUGUGCCAGCAGCCGCAGUAACAC